rnacentral:lncRNA from 1 species
CCUGAAACCAGAGGCACCAAGCAUGUACAAGGACAAGUUCGUGUGUGGCCAUGAAGCUGUGCUCUCAACAUUCUUCAACCACGUAAGUUAACUAAGAUUUAACCCAAUAUAUGUGGGAAAACUAUUUUUACAAACGUGAGGGGGAUGCAAAAUAAUAUUUACUGAUCCCCUCUGUGCCAAGCUCCAAUAGCUAUUAUAUAUUUUAUAUUCAUUGUCUCAUUUAUAUUUCUCCCAUCAAGCCAGUAGAGUAGUUAUAACUAUCUCCAAGUUAUAGAAAAGUAGACUGAAACCCAGAAAAGGCAGGGACAUACAGCCAAUGAGUGUAAGUGCUUGGAUUUGUUUUCAAAGCUCACAUUUUAGGGAAGCCAAGUACAUAAUAUAGCUUUGAUUUCUCUAAAGGAACAGAGACAAGUUGUUUUUAAAAGUGAACAAAUGUGGGGCGCCUGGGUGGCGCAGUCGGUUGGGCGUCCGACUUCAGCCAGGUCACGAUCUCGCGGUCCGUGAGUUCGAGCCCCGCGUCGGGCUCUGGGCUGAUGGCUCGGAGCCUGGAGCCUGUUUCCGAUUCUGUGUCUCCCUCUCUCUCUGCCCCUCCCCCGUUCAUGCUCUGUCUCUCUCUGUCCCAAAAAUAAAUAAAAAAAAAAAAAAGUGAACAAAUGUGCCUUAAAAUAAAAUAGCUUUAUUUUUGGUUUUGUAAAAGAAAUACAUCUUCGAUGUAAAAAGUUUAAAUAAUACAGAAAUUUUUGCUCCUACUUCAUGGCAAGAGCUUCAGUUCAGGGGGAAUCCCCAAAGCUUCGGACCCACUGGAGGUCUCACUACACUUCUGUGCCCUCUGCACCCUCAGCUGGAAUCCCCAUCCAGACUCACCCACACUCCCUUCCCUCUCUGGUAAAUCUAUAAGCAUCCUAAAAUUCUUAUCCAAAUUUCCUUCAAGGCCUUCCUUGCAUCCUUCACUUUAUCCCCCACCUUCCUCUAACCUUCCCCUAACCAGACAGAAUCACUCCCACCUCUGCCUCCGUCACUAUGCCUUUGAAAGCACUCCUACUAUGGUUUGCUGAUUUUGUAUCUCUCUCCUCCCCCCGAACUGGGGGCUCCAAGAAGGUAGGGGCAAAUCAUAUUCAUCUUCAUGCCAAGAGCAUAAAUGUCAUGGCACAACUGCAGUGUAACUUGGAAGCAGGGAAAAAUAUAUCAUGUCCAUCGUUCCAUGGAAAGAGAGCAUAAUGCAGCAGGGAGGAGCAGGGACUCUGGAGCCAGACUGCCUGGGUUCAAAAUCUGGCUCUGCCUUUGCCAGUUACAACUUUGUACAAGUCAAUUAACCUCUCCAUGCAUCAGUUUUCUCAUCUGUAGAAUGGGGAUUACAAUAGCACCCACCUCACAGCAAGACCAUGAGGAUUAAAUGAGGUAGUAUUUGUAAAGAACUUAGAAGAGGACCUGGAACUAAAUAAACACUUGUUUUAAAUAUUUGUUUGAGAAAUAAAUAUUAUUCCAGACCUAUACCUGUGCCACGUCAUUCAAAAGAGAAGAAAAUACAGCUCAAAUUCAGACUCUUGAGCCUGCUUUUUUCCCCUCCAGUUGUUUUCACCAAGUCUGUGUACAGUCAGUGCAUAGGGAGUAGUUAACAUUGCUCCCUACGUGAAAAAUGGGGAUUUAGUACCUGGAAUUGAUUUUAGAGAUGACUGAGCUUAAGCUUCUCAUUUUAUGGGUGAGGAAACCAAGGUGAAGUGGCUGUCCCAGGGCACAAGGCUCAUCAUAACGGUGCUUCCUUUGCCAACCCAGUGUUCUUUCCACAUAUUCUCAGAUAAUACCAGAAAGCCUGAGCAUGGUUAAAAUUAUCUGGGAGAAAGAAAAUGUCAGCAAAACUUGCGUGAGCACAGGGCCCAUGCUGAUUAAGCCGCUGUUCUUAUUCCAAACAGAUCUCAUUGUCUUCUGACCAAAGUUGGAUUCUACUCCUUCCAGAGAACUACUGGGCCCUUCUCCUUGGAUAAAAUCACCAUGAAUUUGAGAAAAUGCCCCUAAUUGCUUACUGAGUGGCAGGAAGAAUUACAGAAUGUCAAAUUGCCUUGGUGUCAUCUGGGGAGAAUUUUCUAAAUUUUAUGCUUCUAGUAGGAGAGUACAGAUGACUGUUACUAUUACAACAAAUGAGAGCAUAUCAGGGAAUAGAAUGCAAAAUGCACUUCGGGUUUUUUUUUUUUAGUGUUCCAAUGACAUUGCAAAGAAUUUCUCACCCCUAGGGGGAUGCUUCAGGCUACACCUCCACCCUCUAAAGAUCAAAUCCACUCUCUUCCACUCUAUCCUCUACUUCAGGAAGAUAUUUUGAGAUGCAGUGAAAUGGCAGAGUCAAGGAUAGGAACCACUCAGUGGGUUCACAUUCAAAUCCUCGCACAUGCCGUCUAGCCCAAAAGAUACAAACAAAAUCAAAGCCAGCAUGGCCUCUCUUCAGAGACGAUUCCUGCUCCUUUGCCUUCUUCCCUUUGACAAACAUGAUAUGCGGCUGGGAAAGUGCCAUUUUCAUAAAUGUUUCAUUUCCCCCUCCCCCAGGCACAGCGCUGCUGGAGCAUGAAUUAUGACCAGCCUGGCGGGCAAGCAUCUUUCCACAAGCACAUCUUUUCUCAUUUGCGGUCACGGUCGUACCUCCAAUGGAGUUGCCGGGGUGAAAGAGCUCAGUAUUGGAAAACACUGGCAGCUUCUGCGUCUGCUGACCAAUCCCUUGCCGGACAGUUUACCAGGCAGUUAAUUUAUGUUCUUUUCUCAAAGCCAAGAUGAACAGGGGUUUUCUCUCCUUCCUGCUUGGUUGCAAACAUAGGGAAGUCCUGCUGCUGCUGACUUAACCCACUUAGGAUUCCGCUUUCAAGCACUAUUUCCAUUGUGCUAUAUUUGAACAAUAAAUUAUUGUUCAUCCUUUUUAAAAAUGGUGAACAACUUCCGUGCUUGCUGAGUGAUAAUAUUUAUAAUUGUUGCCAACCAGGAGAAUCUGUUUGUGGGCGUUUCCUACUGUCACUGUAACCACAGCACUGCAGGGGACAAGCAAGGAGAAAAGAAUAUGAUGUAGCCCCAAACACACACCCUCUGACAGCCUCAUUCAUCUCUCCAUGAAUUCCUCUCCCUUACACAUGCCUGCUUGGUAACAUAAAACCAUUCAUGGAAGCCACUUAAUUUACUGAAAGGCCCUCAUAAAAAUACUCAGAAAAGUAGAAGUCGCUGAAGUGGAAAAAUGGAGUUAUCUUUAAAAGGAAGCCCUCAAUGUGAGGUACAGCAAAAUGCAUUAACCCUAAGACUACUGUACUUUUAAAGAUGCUGUUUCUUUUUGAUUCCCCCAGCUUAUUGAUGGCCCCUCUGCCCACCCAGUUACCCAGUUCAAAACCUUUCUCUUCCUUACUUCCCUCCACUAAUCACCAACACAGUCAAGUUCUAUGUCUUAAAUAGUUCUUAAAAGUAUCUUUGCAUCCCUAACCUCACCAUUACAUCAAAUCACCAUUGUUUCCCUGCAACAGUUGUUCUCGUGGUUCUCAGUAUGGGGUUCCCACACCAGUAACAUCACUAUCACCUGAGAACUCAGAAAUGCAAAUUCUCAGGCUCCACCCAGACUCACUGUAUCAGACACUCUGGGGUAGGCUCCCAGGAGUCUGUGUUUUAAUAAGCGCUCUGGCAGGUUCUAAUGCCUACUCAUUUGAGGACUACCACUCCUUCCCUAUUAAUGACCUUCCUAAAUGCAAAUAUGCUUAUGUCAAUUGUCCUGCUUACAACUUGUCAGUGGUUCCCUCUUGCCCUCUAGAUAAAAUCCUAACUUCCGAGAAUAAACAUGCAAGGUCCUCUCUUAUCAAUAAGUUUCCUCCUUUUCUGCUGAUACCCUUCCCCAAGCAUCCUAUUGUCUAGGUAUACCAGAGAGCCACCCUGAAUGUGCCUGUCCAAGUGCAUGCUGCCACCCUGGCUGGGGAAGAUAUGAAGAGGUCAGAGAAGGUUUUACAGAGGCAGAGUUCCUCAUCUGGGUCUUAAAAGAAAGGAGAUGAAAGCCAUUCCAAGUAUGGUCAUGGUGCGUAUAGAGGCCACUGAGGCAUUACUGUGCACAUAGGCCUAUCUAUUCUUGUAGGACCCAGUAACUUCUGGGUUCUAGAAUUGGAGAUGUUUUUGCAGGGGCAAAAGCUCAUGUCAACAGAUACUCUUUGUAGUAUCUAUACUCUACACUUUGUAGAACACGACCUGGCACCAAUGGCUCUAUUCAGGCUGUGGCUGUCAUCCACAACUGUUAGCGAUCCACAUGUGAUAAUAAUAAAGCAAAGAUACAAUAUAUUUUAGAAGACCUCUUGGGUGACUAGGAGCCACCACAAGUUGUAGUUACUAUUCAAGAGAUUUACUAAAGAGCAAUCAAGGCUGAAAAAAAGGGAUAUAAAACACUGUUAAUAGCUUGUCAAUGUGAUAUAGCACUGACUGGUUGUAAGACCUUGAGUAAUGAGUAAACUUUCUGCGUCUCAGUUUUCUCACUUGUAAAAUGGAGGUAGUAAUGGUACCUACCUUACAGAAUAGGAACUGAGAUUUUUAAUGUGGAAUACUUAGCACAGUUUGGCAUACAAUAGGCACUCAAAAAAUGUAAUCAUUAUUAUCACCAAUAUUGCAAUGCUUGAUAUUUUAUGAGCCUGUCAAUGCCACACAGUAUGUAUUUUCAUAGAAAGCAUAUAUAUGGGAAUAAAACAUGUUCCAGAAAUUCUGAAAGCAUAAUAAGAUUCAAAUUGCUUAUAUCAAUUAAGUCUUUCACUCGUCUCUCUCCAAUUCAUUCUAGAGAGUAGGUCCACUGGAGGACCUCACCAGUGAAGUUAGUUACCCAAGUUCCAAAUAAUGUGUUCCAAGAAUUUGAGAUGAUCAUGGGCCAAAAUUCCCUAAGCUUUAUACUAUUUACCAAGAAUUCCAGCUGUUGAGAUGGAGACAGAGGUGGGAAUAUUAUCUGAUGAGAUCUAACUCACAAAAUGAAACUCAUGUAGGGCACCUGCAUGGCUCAGGUCAUGAUCUCACAGUUCGUGAGUUCAAGUCCCACAUCGGUUGAGCUCGUGACACACUGUGGGUGAGCACAAGCCCCCUCAACACAAGCCCUGCUUCAGAUGAGCCCCACUUCUCUCUCUCUUCCUCUCUCCCUCUCUCACUCCGUCCCUUUCCCUCUGCCCUUCAUGGGAUUCUCUCUUUCUCUCCCUGCCCCUUGCUUACACACACACACACUCUCUCUCUCAAAAAUAAUAAUAAUAACACUCAUGCAUAAAGUUAUCUGAAUAGCUUGGUUUGCUUUUGACCAGGGACGGUAUUACUCAACAGUUUUUGAUGAUGACUUCCAUACCUGGAGGCUGAGUUGUUACUAACAAAACUGGAAGUGCUUCAACAAGAGAAAAAGAUAUUGUUCUCACAUCAAAUGCCUGGCGCAAGUGCCUUGUUUGAAAAGGUAUUUAUGAUAUAAUCAAAAUCAAAGAACAUCACCUCAUGUUGUUCUAACAGCAUAUCUUAGGAAAAGAUAUGAGAAGCAAUUACUUACAGUGGGGAUUCUUAGUUUCUCCCAGGCUUCCUAAAUAUACUCUAUUCAUUUUAGAAUGUGAGUUUCCAAUUUUGGGAUCUAUGAUUUUGUGAUUGAGAGACCUGGGUAAUGAAAAGUGAACUGAAGCCACUAAUUCCAAUAGAUGGGACUAUCAACAAGAGAACUCAUGACUGUAUUUAGUCAGAGUUAUAAGAGUGAUAAUGAAAGUAAUGACCUAGAAGCAAUUUUGUCCCCUUCAUCUCAGUAACUGCUUAGGGGUCUUUGCAUGAAUAGCAAAUGUUUAUUAUGAGAUUCCAUCUAGCCCUAAUUGGUUCAAAUAAUACAUUUGGCUUCUCAGUAGGAUUUGGAGUGCCAUAAACAAAGUUACCGAGUUACAGGCUCAAGGAUCCUGGCUUUAAAUGAAGGGGUUGCUAACACACUCAUGCACCUUUCCCAUGUCCAUGGUAACAACUAACGUUUAUGGAAUGCCAAAUCUGUUGUCAACACCAUAUUAAAUACUUCCAUGGAUCUUCUCCUUUACAGCAAACCUACAUGGAGUCUACUAUUAAUAUAAAUACUUUAUAAAUGAAGUAAGUGAUGUCUAGAGAGUUUUAACUUGCCCAAGGUACAACAGCUGGUCAGUGUGGAGCUCCAACAGUCAAAUCAAGCAGUCUAACUGAUGGAGCCCAUGCUUUGAAUCCCAGGGCUCUACUGCUACCAUACUGACUCUGAAAGCCUGGGUUUCUGAGCUAGUUCCUGAGAUAUUACAGUUCUUCUCAUUGAUCAUCUUUUUCUCCUUUCUUUGGUUGCUAAGAAAGUCAGGACCAAUUUUUAGUACUUCCUGGGGAAAGGGCACUUAGCACAGUGGCAAAUGGCUUAGCUCUGAUCAGUCAGAUACAGGCCCAUAUCUCAGUUCCUCCCCUUAACUGCCAUGUGAACACAGGCCAGUGAUUUCACUUCCUGAAGCCCUAUUUCCUUAUCUAGAAAACAACAUAAUACCUGCUUAGGGUUAUCAUGAGGAUGAGAUCUGGUAAAUUAAUGCAUGUCAUCUUGUCAGUAGACUAGUGGUGAUGUGUUUGAUGAAAAGAGAUCAGUGAGGAUAAGCACUGUUUCAAAAACUGCUUGUCUAGUGUUGUGUGCUUAUGCACACACUGGGUCACCAUGUAAAAUGUGUUUGUUCUUGUGAGUUGGAGCCAAAGUUUGAAGGCCACUGUUCUAACCCUCCUCCCUCCUAACAUUUCCUCUGAGAUCUCUGGGGUUCCUUUACGCCCUCUUUUUUCUCUCUUGCAAUGAGAAGAAUCCCCUUUUCUUCAGAAUUUAAGCUUCCUUGCAGAGACAUUAGGAAUAUACUCACCACAAGAAAAUAAACUGUUCUUAACUGGUCCUUUCUGAUUUGGGAGAAAGAAACCAAGAACUUUUUCCCUUCGAAGGAAAGCAGCCGAUAUUUAGUCUGAUUCUCAAAUGCUGCCCCACAGGCAUCCCUGGACACAGAAGCCCAACACAGUCCUCUGACCAAGUGGCUUAUUAAUAACCCUAAGUAUGUAAAAAAUUUCCCAAGUGUGUCUGAUGAUUGGGAUCUAUGAUCUUAUCCUAUUUCUUUCUGGCUUUCUUGUUUUGUUUGGUUUUUUUUAAUUUUUUUUUAUGUUUUUUUUUUUUAAAUUUUAUUUUGAGAGAAAGACAGAGUGUGAGCGGGUAAGGGGCAGAGGGAGAGGGAGACACAGAAUCCGAAGCAGGCUUCAGGCUCCAAGUUGUCAGCACAGAGCCUGACAUGGGGCUUGAACUCACGGACUGUGAGAUCAUGACCUGAGCCAAAGCCAGACGCCCAACCGACUGAGCCACCCAGGUGCCCCAUCUGGCUUUCUUAUUUUAAUCUCAUUCUCUCAACCCUUUCUUGCUUAUUCCUUUCCCUCCUCAAAUCCUUCUAUUUUUCCUUCUAGCCAAAUAGCCUAUUGGAAUGCAAAAUGCUAAUUUAUAAUUCUUCAUUAAGUAUUUUUAACCACAAUUACACAAAACCAUCUUUUAGUUGAUUUGAAUCAGUACAACUCUUUAGUAAUUGAAUGGUCAUGGAAACUGUAGUUUUGGUAAAAAUUGUUUCCACUUUCAAUCUGUCAUCAACUCAUCAUCAGAGCAUUAAGCUUGCACUGAAUUUCCCAAAUUCAAGCAGCACCUCUACAAGUGACUUACAGGCUGCCCUUUGAUGUGCUAAUCAUGCAGGCUGAUAGAAUAGUCAUACUUUCAGAAGGCAUCUUCAUGGAAGCAAACAGCUCUAUUAACAACCUGAAACACUGAAAGUCAUUCUGAGCCAGGAGUACCAUUACGUACACAAAACAAGAUGAAUGGUACAGUACAUGAGGCCAAGCAGAAUCCCUUCCAAUACCGGAUGGAAAAGACACCUGAUUUAGCAUGAAUUCAAGAGACAAUUGUCAUCCUGUGGUAUACGGCUACUAUUCUUCACUGCAGACUAUGAGGGAAUGUUUCAGUCAUGUUAGCUGGGUUUUUUACUUUUACCAUAAAAAUUAUUAUUGACAGAUUCAUUUGAGGUAAGAAAUGGUCUUCCAGAAAAGCACGAGGGGAUUCAGCAGAGCCCAGGAGCAGAUGUGCAUUAUAAAGCAAUAUGAGGCAUAAUGAGAAAAGCACUCGUCCCUAUCCCAUUAAUCAUUGGCACUACCUGAUAAUCAAGAAUUACUGACCUCUCCCACCCUCCAGCUAGCAGAUAUUUGUGUACUGUAAUGCACCAUGGCCCCAACACAAGCUCAAUUCUAUGUAAUGCUGAGAAUCAGCAUUUCAGUAACAUUAAUCUGAACCCUACCUAUUCCCUCUUGCAUUGCUUAUAACACAACUUGUGAAUAAUAUAUAAAUUCCUUCCAAUAGGCAAAUGACUGAGUAAAUGAUACAAUCCAAUUGACGGACUACUGCGUAAAAAUUUUAAUUGCCAAUUAUGAAGAUUUUAAAAUAUGGAAAAUGCUUUGGAAUUAAGAUUUAAUGAUAAAAGCAAAAUGCAAAACUGUCAGAAUACUCAGCUUACAGACACAUAAUAAUGCGGUUAGAUGGAAAGAAAAGGCAAGCUGUUGAUAGGGAGAAUGAUAAGCAAUUUCUUUUUUUUCUUUUGAAAAUACACUCUAAUGUUCCUAUGAUAUUCUAAUUAUAAAAGUUACUUUUUUUAUUUUUAAAGAUUUUAUUUGUAAGCAAUUUGAACACCCAGUGUGGGGCUCGAACUCACGACCCUGAGAUCAAGAGUUGCAUGCUCCACUGACUGAGCCAGCCAGGGGUCCCUAAUAAUAAAAGCUAUUUUAAAAUCAAAGCCCACCUCUUAGGAAAGUUGGUUACCCUUACCAUGCUUCCAUACAAUGAAAACUGCAUGUGAUAAAUGCUUAAAUGGUUUUUUUGGAGGUUUUUUUUUUUUUUUUUUUUGGUUCAAAAAUAGGUUGGAAUCUGCCAAGGAAUCAGCUCACAUUAUUCAAUGUCAGGCACAUUUACACUCAUAUGUAUUAGUAAUUCCUUUGGUUGACUUUUCCUUGCCGUUGUCAUGGCAACCGUUUCCACUGCCAUUAGUACCUCUAGGGCCCUGCCUUGUUCACAUAUUUUUAGGCCGUUUCUCUUGUAACAAAGCAAUUAAUACUUAUGGCGUAUCUGUAUCGAAGCCCUGGUGACCUGUUCUGUCUCUUGGAACUGCUGAGCAUUCGGUUUCCUUCCUUUUUGCUUCUGUAGGUGCUUCUGUUUCUCUUUGUGGUGCUCCUUCUUUUUGCUAACUCUUGCAAGCAAGCCUCUUGACUAUUUCUAAUUAUAUCCUAUUUGGAUUAUUUAAAGUUUUGUUUUUUCACAUGUCCUCCAUGUUUCCCUAUCCAUUGACACUCAUUCCAAAACCAACAAAAUAGCACAUUUUCAUUAAUGAUCACUUUGGACUACCAUCAUAGAAGAGAAUAAAAAUGCCAUGCAAUAAUUGAGACUUUAGAAUGAUUCUAGACGGAAGAUCACAUGGCUGUGUAGUCGGGAUUGCACACCUCCAGUCACAAGGCAUCCACAAAAGCACAAGGUUAUCACCUUGCAUUUUCUGACAGCUGGAAUGAGUCAUCUCAUAGUCUUCUCUAAUGAAGAUUAAGGAUAUUGGCUACCUUUUUUCAUGCCAAAUUAAUUUUCCCUAUGCAAUGACCAAUGUGGUGAGGUUGCUAUAAGAUGGACUGAUUCUUACAUUGCUACACAGAGAAUAAAUGUGGGCACUGUUUGUUAACCAAUAACUACUAUCAAAUGCCUUUGGCCCUGUAAUUCUUGUAGAAAUCUCUUCUAAGAAAAUUAUCUAAAGUGUAGGGAAAAAAUAGGUAUUUGUUUAUUAAAAUUGUUUACAAUAGCAAAAACACUGGGAGCCAUCUAAAUGUUUAACAGUAGGAAAAAAACAUGGUGUAUGCACAAGGUAAAAUAUUUACAGAUGAUGCAUCUAUAAAGGCAUUGCAAGUGCACGUGGUGUGAUACUUUAAAUCGUUAAUGUGAAAAAUCAGGAGGUGAAUAUGCAAGUAUAACUUUGUAAAAAGAAUAAACUAAACCACAAACCCCAUGAGAACAGGAACCAUGUUUAUCUUAUUUAUCUUGUAUCUAUAUAACCUACCAUAAUAUCUGUAAAUAUUUGUUGUAUAAGUGGGUGAAUGGAUAGACAGAUGAAUAUGUGUGCCAAAAGAAUGGAAGAUAAUACACCAGAUUUCUAAGAAUGACUGUCUUUGGGAGAUAACUUUUUGUGCUUUCUAAGUUGUUCCUUACUUAAUUGUGUUUUCCAUCUUAUUAACUUUUAAAGACUUUUUGGAGGAGUUGGAUUAAUCUUCUCAGCUUUAUGCCUUGCAUACGGAGACAAUACAGAACAAAUCUAUACCCUUUCUACAUAGAACCCUCCAAAUAGUGAGAGUCAGUUCGAACAAUUUCAAACAAGUUCUGUAUGACAUGAAUUCCCAACCCCAUGUAGGGCUUUAUCUACUUCAUUCUAUAAGAUUAAAUGUUUUUCAAGUAGGUAGAAAAGCUAUGUAAACUCUAGAACUCUGUACACAUAUGAGAAUUCUGUACACUAAAAUUACCUUUAUUGUUUUAUAAAUUCUCUUCCUAAUGCAUAGUUCAGAUCAUUUCCAUCAUCAAAAAUCUUCUUGCCUAAUGAAUAAAAUUCAACCCCUUAGUCUGACAUUCAAGGCCUUCCAAAAUCCAGUUCCAAAGUAUAUCUCCACUUUUAUGUUCCAUCCCAAUGUUACCCAAACUCUGUGCACCAGCCUUGCCAGAGUAUUUGCUAUUUGUUGUGUAUGCAAUACAAUGUCUUGCCUUCCUACCAGUGCUGACACUGUGCUCUUAGCUUGAACUGCUCUUUUUUUUUCCCCUUUCCUCUUGACAAAAUCUUUCAACACCAAUUCAAACACCACCUUUUCUGGCCAUGAAGAUGUAAUCAAUGAUGACAAUCAGUCUAUAGAAUGAUUACGGUUAAAACCUUUUUACAUUUUCAAAUACUCAGGGGUUUGAUUUCUGCUAUCAAAUCAAUCAAAAAUUAAAGCGUCUAAUAUUCAUUGGCAUUCUAGUUAGGAUCUACUAUGAGCAAAUCUCAUUAAUGAGAACAGCCAUUUUACCUGGGAAAGUUACACUCAACUUCAUCCUGACAGGAGAGUAAGAGUGUGUAUGUGUGUUACAUAGGGGUUUAGACUCAGGAUAAAUGUAACCAGCACUCUACAGAGUGUGUGUGUGUGUGUGUGUGUGUGUGUGUGUUUGUGUAGGGGUCNNNNNNNNNNNNNNNNNNNNNNNNNNNNNNNNNNNNNNNNNNNNNNNNNNNNNNNNNNNNNNNNNNNNNNNNNNNNNNNNNNNNNNNNNNNNNNNNNNNNNNNNNNUGGGGGGGGGGGGGGGGGGGGGGGGUGUAGGGAAGAACUUCAAAGGACAUUUAUUUCCACCUUUUAAGGCAUACUUGAAAAAUUCACCAAAAGAUGACAUUUUAAAAUGUUUCUCUUUUAUAAUGAUUGCCCAAACUAGCCUUCACCCUGCCAAUGAGAGCAAAUAGGAGAUAAAACCACCAACCCAGAAAAACACCAGCUGUCAGAAGAGACUGGCACAUGGCAACUUCACUUAAUACAGGCACAGAAAUGCCUUCACUGGAGUGCCGUGCUCUCUUCUCUCGCUCCUCCUGUGGGGGACACUUCAACACAGCCAAACCAUUUUCUCUCACUUUGCAGUCAUCUGUCUGUAGUCUUUUAGAAUAUUUAUUUAAUUUCCAUUUUUUAUAAGUGUUCAAAUUUACUUCCUCAUCAAUAAAAACCAUAUAUAACACCCCCUUCAAUUUGUAUGAAAAUUCAUUCAACCAGCUCUUUCCCAAUAAAAAUGAAGUGCACUUUUCCUCACUUUGUAUUUCACUAAUUCCCUCAGUAAGUUCUAACAAAAUUACACCUAUAUUUCAUCUCCCAAUGCCUUUUUUCCACUAAUUCAUUGGAGGAUUGCUAGUUCAAACUAUUUCAAGGGCCCAGAUGAUUGAUUGAUGCUGACUGGUGUUACUCCAUCUCUCCAGAAGAUUGAACAAAAAGAAAUGGAAUUAAAUCACAUCUGAAAGGAAAUUCUGAGACAGAAGGAAAAAGCUUCUUAAGUGUAUAAAUCAAAUGUUACAAGAGUUUCUAUGAAGGCUAUAGAACACCAAUCAUCAAUAUUCUUUUAAAAAAGAGUUAAGUGUAUUUUUAAAGCCCAACCUCCUUGGAAGAAGUGAUCCUGAAUGAAAGACUUCUUGAUGCCUUAUCCUUCACAAAAAUUCUAUGAUUAACAAAUACUGUAGUACAGCAGCAGAUGAUAUUUGCCUGCCCAAUAUCCACGCUUCCCUCUUCCUGACCAACAGACUCCUCUUAUGCUUCUAGAGAUGGCCAUGUAACCUGGCUAAUGAAAUGUAUGCUGAAGUGAUUGGGAAAGAACUUCUAAGGAAGAUUUACAGAAAGGAACCAGACUCAGCAGUCAUCCUCCUUUUACCCUUUGCCCUUUGCUCUUUACCCUUUCCCAUUCUUCUGACUCUAGAGAUGUAGCCACCAUCUUGGAAAUGUGAUAAAAAGGAAGUCACUCACUAAACACAGCAAAGGAGGAAGACAUAGGUACCUUGCACUACUACCCCAUCCAAAGAUAGCUCCUUCUAGACUUACUGUUACAGGACAAAAGUAAAGCCCUUCUUUGGUUAAACCACUGUAAUAGGGUUUCCUAUUAUCUACAGCCAAACCCAAAGCUAACUGAUACAAUUACAUUCCUCUUUUUUUUUUAAUGAUUAUUCAUUUUUUGAGAGCAAGACAGAGCAGGAGUAGGGGAGGGGCAGAGAGAAAGAGAGACACAAAAUCUGAAGCAGGCUCCAGGCUCUGAGCUGUCAGCACAGAGCCUGACACAGGGCUUGACUCAUGAACCACUAAAUCAUGACCUGAGCCAAAGUCCAACACUUAACCGACAGAACCACCCAGGCGCCCCAACAUUCCCUUUCUUAAAACUGCCUACCCUUGGCUUCUGCAACACUACAUUUUCCUGGUUUUAUUCCUCUCUCACUAUCCAUUCCUCCUUUUCCUCUUUGCUGCAUCUUCUCUUUUCAGCCCCCUCAGACCACUCCAGGGAUCAGUUUGGGCUCUUUGGUAGGCAAAAUAACAGUCUCCAAAGUUGCUCACAUCCUAAUCCUCAGAUUACGUGAAUAUUCUACUUUACAUGGCAAAAGGGACUUUGCAGGUAUAAUUAAGGAUCCUGACAUGAGGAAAUUAUCCCAGAUUAUCCAGGUGGGCCCAAUGAAAUCACAAGGAUCUUUAUAAGGGAAAGAGGGAGGCGGGAAAGUCAGAGUCAGAAAAUGCCAUGAGAAAGGAAACAGGGAUUGAGUGAUACUCUAUAAACACUGAAGAUGGGGCCACAAACCAAUGAACACAGGUAGCCUCUAGAAGGUAGAGAAGGUGAAAAAACAGAUCCUGCCCUGGAGUCUCCAAAGAGAAUUCAGCCCUGCCAACACCUUGAUUUCAGCCCAGUGAGACCCAUGUUGGACUUCUGACCUCUAGAACUGUAAAAUAAUAAAUUUGUGGGGUGCGUGACUGGCUCAGUCAAUUAAGCAUCCAACUCUUGAUUUCAGCUCAGGUCAUGGUCUCACGCUUGUGAUAUCGAGCCCUGUGUCAGGCUCUGCACUGGGCAUGGAGCCUGCCUGAGACUCUCUCUGUCUCCCUCUACCCCUUCCCCACUUGCAAACAUGUACUCUCUUUCAAAAAAAAAAAAGAAAAAAUAUUUUUUAAAAAAAAUUUUUUAAUAGAAUAAUAAAUCUGUGUUGUUGCUUUAAGCUACUACUUUUGUAGUAAUUUGUUAUAGCCUCAACUGGGCACUAAUACAGAUCCCAUUCCUUUCUCUAUUGAUAAUGUUCUUCUUAAGAGACCUCAAGGCAAUCCUGUGGUUUUAAAAAAACAUCUAUAUUCCACAAUUUCCAAAUCCUUCUCUGCAAAUCUCACCUCACCCCAGGAUUUCAGAUUUGUAUAUUCAAAUUAAUACUUGUGGGGAACAAAAACAAAUAGUAGUCCUUUACAAAUGCAGACUUAUCUAAGCCUAAUUUUGUCUGAAUGUGUUACUUUUUGAAUUAGUCUUUCUGUGCUCCCACAUGUGAUGAUGAGGCAGCAUCUGACAAGAGUGCAGAUGUAGUGACAGAGUAGGCUACCCUCUACUUCAUUCAUUCAUCCUUUCAUCCAAAUAUGGUUGCUGACCCAACCUAGAAUGUGCCAGUUGCCAUGCCAGUCCCACAAGUGGAAGGCAUGUUCUUUCUUGUGCAUCUAAUAGAUAUCCCAAACUCCAUACAGCUAUUCAGCUAUUUCAGAAUACACCUCUCCCCUCAGCUUCCCCCCAUCCCCAUCAAAACACACUCUGCUCCUUUCCCAAACUUCCUCAUCUCAGUAAAAUGCACCUUCAUUCACCCAGUUGCUCAUGCCAAAAACCUAAGAGCUUACCUUGCACCUAUUCCUCUUCCCUCACUCCACACAUCCAACCUAUAAGCAAAUCCUGUCAGCUCUACCUUCAAAACACACCCAAAUGCAUUGACAUCUCCCCUCUCUAGACUGUUUGCCUUGCAAUCCAAGCCACUGCCCUCCUUCAUGUGGAAUACUGCAACCACCUCCAACAAUCUAGUCCCCACACAGCAGCCAGAAGUACAUUUUUUAAAUGUAAAUUAGACCACAUCAUCCCCCUAUUUAAAACCCAUCAAUGAUACCUUGUUGCUCUUAGAAUAAAAGUCAACCUGGCUUUCAAAGACUUUCUUCCUGCUUCCUAACUCUUGACCUUGUCCCAUACCUGGCUUGAAUGAGUAAAAGAGGACAGUAGCAUCACUGUAUCCUCAGAUGUUGCCCCACCACACAUGAGAGGCAUAUACAAGGUACAAACUAAAUUAACUGGUAGCAAAUUCAGAUAAAUAUAGACUCAGUUAAGCCCACAUUCUGUAAGGGGGCUGCUUAUAUGACUAGUGUUCGCUCUCGUCGGUCCAAUAGUCAGGUGGGGUCCACCCGAACUAGUGUCAAUGUAGAAUAACACCCUAAGGAUUCUCUGCUUUGAAACACUAUGAAGAGGGGUAUCUGGGUGGCUCAGUCGGUGGAGCCACUGACUUUGGCUCAGGUCAUGAUCUCAUGGUUCAAGAGUUCGAGCCCCACAUCGGGCUCUGUGCUGACUGCUCAGAGCCUGGAGCCUGCUUCAGAUUGUGUGUGUGUCUCUCUCAAAAGUAAAUAAACAUCAAAAAAAUAUGUAUUUAAAAAAACUCUAUGAAGAAUAUAAAAGGAUUGAUGGGGGAUUCCUAAACCCUUAUUUUAUAAUGGGAACAAAACACAGUUCACUAAGUACACUAACACACUAAAAGCCAUAAAAAAUGCCGAGGGGAUUCUGAUAUGUCUCAUUUCACUAUGGAACUAAUAAUAAUAUAAUUGCAUUGGUAUUUGUACAGCUAACGUUUGUAGAGAAUUUACUUGGAUCCAGAAACUUUGCUAAGAGCUCUCCAUGAGGUGUGCUAUAAUUAUUCUUAUUUCACAGAUAACAUGACUGAGUUUGAGAAACACAAGGUCACAUAGUUAUUUCAUGGCAGAUUCAGACUAUCAACCUGGUGACCUAACUCCUGAGCCCACACACUUAACCAUAGCCCUAGCCUCAAUUAACCAGCAGGGUCAGAGAGACUAGUCAGACUUUCUAAGAUGGUUCUCUCUGGGUCUUUUUCUGAUUAGCUCAGCAUAUGUGCCUCCCAUCCCACUUAGUCCUCUGCUGGGAUGCCUGGAGGUCUUAUGUUUGUUUCAGGACUCUUGUUAUAAAGUCUUGAAUCUCUGCUUAAGUACUUAUUCAAAGAAGUGAUUUAAUCAUUUCCUAAUCCCUACCCAUCUGGAUUUGCUUCCCUCCCACAGAUUCUGGAUAAUGUUAUAAUGUCUGCUUGGUGCUAGAGCUCCUGGCUCUCCAACUUGAGUGCUCUACAGCUGGCUCUCUUGGCCCCAGUGUUCCCUGCUGCAUAGCUGAGCACUGGCAGCAGGAUUAGUAUAUCUCAAAGUCCCUCUGACGUGGAGUAUGUAUCUGCUUGAAGUAGAAAGUUAAAAUGACUUCCUCAUCAGACAGAAACCUGGAGGGAACGACAUUCCUUAUGAAAUACCAUUUGACAACUCCACAUUAAAUGUUUAAUUAUUUCAUGCCCAAUUUUAUAUAGGUUAUUCUAAAAUACUCUAGCAGGGAGCAGGACUUUUUAAUCACAUUUUGGUAGAUUCUAAAUUGAAAACUCAUUAAUAAACAAAACCUCCAGGGACUUUGAUUUCUACAGCAUUUCCACCCUGCAGCGCACAACAAGAGUGUCAGGUGGACCUUUUCUCCAAAUGAUAUUCCCUUGGCACUUGGGACAUACGGUAAUGUGUCUGUCUUUCUAUAAUUCUUUUUUGUGUUGGCAUUUGGUCAUUUGCCACAAAAGAAGUGAAGAUGACCGGGAUAAAAGACAGAAGUGUGUAGUUCUGUUACCUAUUUUUCCCACAAAAAAAAAAUUAAGGCACAUGCUCUCUAUAUCAUGUGUCUUUGCUUUGGGUUCAUAGCAUGAGGAUAUUUAGAAGAGCCUGGGAAUAUUCUGGCCAAACCGAAAAGGAAAAGGCACGAGUAUAGUUAUCAGUCAUGUUUUCAAGCAGGUAUCAGCACAUUUUUAAAUGCUGAAUAAUAUAAGGAGUAUGUCGAAAAGCUGAAAUAAAUGCAUCUACGUUGUAACCAGUAACAUCUCCUGCCUCACUAAAUGCAAUAGGUAAACUUCCAAAUGGGAGUCAUGUAGCUUUAAGAAAAUGAAGGCCCCAAACAUAGUAGAAACAUAGCCAAUUACAGUCACCAAAAAUAAUUCAUGUCUAUGCUGCUCAGUGCACGAGACUGCUUACACCCAAAAAGAGAUAGGGCUUUGCGGCAUGGUAGUUCCUCACAGCUGUCAGAAGCCAGUUUUCUUAUCAGUCCAGCAGGAGUGUAAUUAAAGACAAUAGCCAGAGCAGCUGUAUUGAAAAAACAAUUCAUUUGUCUUCCCCUUCCCCCACCCCUUCUGCUCACAUAGCUAAUCUGAACAUAACAUCAGCUCCAUCGUCAAGGCUUCUUCAAAAGGCAGAAUAAUAGGAAACAUCUAUCUGUUUCCCACUGUGGAUUGUGAAGAUUGAAGAAAUACUUGCUCUUAUCUUGCUAUUACAUUAUAUUAAAUGCAAGUAAUUUAAGUCUGGAAAUUCAAAAGCUCCUAAGAUACGGCAAGUUUUUGGAGAAUGAGAAAAAUUAUUCGCAGGAAUAGAGAGAAUCUGGGGAAAUAACCUAAACUCACUGGUGUCCUGGAAAGUGUUUAACAAUAGGCUGAUUAGGAGGAAAGCCCCAGCCUGGGUGUUCAGUGGUAAAGCUUCCGACUUUGGCUCAGGUCAUGAUCUUGCAGUUUGUGGGUUUGAGCCCACAUUGGGCUCUGUGCUGACAGAGCCUGGAGCCUGCUUCGGAUUCUGUGUCUCCCCCUCUCUCUCUGCCCCACCCCACUCGCGCUCUGUCUCUCUCUCUCUCUCAAAAAUAAAUAUUGUUUAAAAAUUAAAAAAAAAAAAAAGGAAGAAAGUCCCAACUUGUAACAUUUCCAAUCUCUGUAAAUACCCUCACUGUGGAUGAGGUCAGGCUACUAAGGUGACACCACUGAACACAGAAUUGGAAGGAGAUGCACAGGAGGAUGCCAACACACAGUAUUUAUCCCGCACACACAAGAACAUAGUUAGUAAAAUAAUAUGGACACAAUCUCAAGAAUGUAGAUUUUAAAAAACUAGGAAGUGGCAAAUUUUGAAUAUUUGUUACCUUUGUUUUUCAUGUAAUUUACUGAAAUUUUACAUAAUUUUAUUUUUUAACGUUUAUUUAUUUUGAGACAGAGAGAGAGAGAGAGAGAGAGAGAAGAGAAUCCCAAGCAGGCUCUAUGCUCAGCAUGGAAACUGAUGCGGGGCUCGACCCCACGAUUGAGAGAUCACGAGCUGAGCCUAUACAAAGAGUCGGAUGCUUAACCAACUGAGCCACCCAGGCACCCCUAAUUUAAUUGUUAACAAUGACUAUGUUUAUUGCCUUGUAGAAUUCCUGAAAACAAUUGCCUUUUACAAGCCAGUACAAACUGACCCCAUUCCACCACUAUCUAUACCAUAUACUGCAGCUGCCAUGUUAUAAGAAGUCAUAAACAGUCCUCAAGUUGUAACAGGGGAAGAGAAUACAAAAUAACAACAUUCUUUUUUUUCACCAAUGGAAUUUGGUCACUUCCUUCAUCAUUUUCCUAAGACCUAUCUUUCUAGAAUAAUCUCCCUGAAGCCAGAAGAAAGAAAAAUCUAGGAACAUGUGUAUGUGUUGUUACUAAAGCAGUGAAAACACAGGUACUUUUCAUAAUCAUGAUUGCUAACCCUUUCUUCAUCACAUGUACAUAACUAAAUGCUAGUAGGAAAUUUUGACUGAGGCACCAAGACAUAAAAGCCAUACUCCAAGGAAGAGCAAUGCUUUGCUGAGAACCUGCAAAAGAAGUGAUUAAAAAACAGUUACGUAGAAUUCUACUUCUCGGAAGAUGGAGCUGACAUAUUUUCCCCUGUCUCUCCCACUAAGUACAACUAAAAACCCUGGACAUUAUACAUUAAACAAAUAAAAGACUCUGAAAGGCAGGGAGAUGAGACAGACUAGCCAGAGAAUAACAUGCUGGUGAGUUUCCUGGCUUAUAUUUCUUGCCUCAUAAAUCCCAGAGUAGAUCUGAAGAAGCCAACAACCAAGAAACACCAAUGGAGGUGAUGAAAAAGCCCCCCCAAAAGUCUGCAUUCUCUAGCCAAAGGACGUUGUGAAGAUGGAACCAUUCUGUAUCUUGACUAGACUGAAACCAGUGUCCUGGCUGUGAUACUGAACUUUAGUUUUGCAAGAUGUUACCACUGAGGGAAACUGAGUAAAGGGUACACAAGAUCUGUCUGAAUUUCUUACAACUGCAUGUGAAUUUAUAACUAUGUCAAAAUCAAAAAUGUAAUUAAAAAAGAAAACCAGUUACAUGUCUCCUACUCCCUCAGCUAUAUCAGGAUAUAAAAGGGUCAGAAGUCAGAGAUUAGGAUGUUGGAGAAAGUUAACAGUGUACCAAGAGACCCAACCUCCCUCCCAAGGUAGUGAACUAAGGGGCUGUUUCCCCAUCCCUGCAAAUAAUAGAAGACGACCUGCAAAUCAAAUUAAGAAGACCGCUUAGAGACUUUGAUAUACGGCCCCUAAAGAUGAGGCCCCUAUAGACUGACUCCCACCUGAAAAAUCUAAAAGGCAAGAAACCAGUUAGCUGGAGGCUUUAACAGAAAAGCAAAUAAGAUGCAGCUUCUUGGGGCAGCCUGCAUUCCUGGAGCUUGUGGAACAAAAGAUAUGUGAGUAUUUGCUGUAGACCAGGUGGAGACCAUGCGCAAGAGAGCUAGCAUGGGUCUUCUUAGAUCUUGUCCAAAAGAGUCCCUGGAGGGACAGAAAGAGCUCAGUGGGAAGAAACUAGGAUACUGCUGAGUUCCUAUGGGAUGAGGAAGCUUUCCUAGACCUCCAUUCAGAGGAGAAAUGUCCACGUCAAUGGAAUGGUGCCUUUUCUCUUCUGAGGGAUCAAUUACCAAGGUCAGCAACAUGGGGGAAGAGGAGCAGAAACCCUCUGUGGGUAAAGAACACAUAGCAGCAAAUGCAGUAUUAAUGUUCACAUGUGGAACUUUCUUGUGUUGCCUCAAGAUGGCAAGCAAUCAUUAUUGGUUCUCAAACUGAGCAAUCCUGAGGGACUUUGGAAAACAGUGGCUUGUACAUCAUUUCAUUUUUAAUCAUCACCUAAAUAGGUCAGGGUCUUCACUGCUGACAUGCACUUUGAAUGUUUUUUUUUUAACAUUUAUUCAUUUUUUAAUAGAGAGAGACCGAGCAUGAGUAGGAUAGAGGCAGAGAGAGAGAGGGAGACAAGAAUCCGAAGCAAGCUCCAGGCUCCGAACUGACAGCACAGAGCCCAACGUGGGGCUUGAACUCAAGGACCAUGAGAUCAUGACCUGAGCUGAAGUCAGACGCUUAACCGACUGAGCCACCCAGGCACCCCUGAAUGGUUUUUUAAAUAACAUAAUUACAACAUAAACAGCAGGAGUAAAUUCAUUACAAUUAAGGAAUUCAAUGGAAUCAUUUUUUCCCUUAAAUAUAUCCUCUGAUAUUAUAGUCUUCUAUGAAAAGACACACUUUUUUGGGCUCCUUUCUAACCUCCCCUGCCCACUUUACACCCCUGCUCUGAACCCCACCCUCACCCCAUUCUCUUCUCCAAGGAGGGAAAAUCCUAAUUAUAAAUCAUAUUCCAGGGCACAGAUCAUAUAACAUAAGCUAGUGGGUGGAGCCACCAUGCAGAAAAGGUCAGCAUAUAAUGGUGCUUUUUCUUUCUCUUGAUUGUUUACUGCUGAAGUGAGAGUUGAUCCAUGUCCUGGAUAUGUGCUGUCUUAGGACAAUAAAAUUAUUCUCAAGGGAUGUUAAGAAGAACAAAAGGAGGUUACAAGAAAUUACUAGAGUAUAUAAGAUUUUGUUUCUGGUGUUUUUUAUUUAAGUUUUUAUUUAUUUAUUUUGAGAGAGACAGAGACAGUGCAAGUGGGGGAGGGACAGAGACAGAGGAAGAGAGAGAGAAUCCCAAGCAGGCUUCUUCUCAAUGCCACACAGAGCCCAACAUGGGGCUCAACCUCACCCACUGCAAGACCAUGACCUGAGCUGAAACCAGGAGUGGAUGUUUAAUCGGCUGAGCUACCUAGGAGCACGCCCCCCCACCUACGAUUCUUUUUUUUUUAAGCAUCUUAACAUACUUAUUUUGCACCCAAUAACUGUAUCAUUCAAAAUUCUUGAAAUUCUAAUUCUGUUACUUGUGUCUAGUGAGUCUAACUCAAGGGGGAUCACUUUUUUUUUAUGUGCUUUGUACUUUUAGAUUAAGAGCUCAUGUUUAGUAGAGCUAUGGGCAUCCUUUGGGGCUGAGUUGAGGAUGUGCAUUUGCUUCUUUCAGACACCCUGGGGCUCUUUCCAAAUUAGGACUUUCAUAUUAACUUCUUGGCUUGAGGAUUACUUUGAUAUGAAUUCAAAUGCCCAAUGUGAGUAAAAGAAGCACUGUGAUUACACAUUCUCAGAGAAUACCUUUUUCCUGCCCAGAGCUCAGACUGAGACACACAAAUUACAACUUCAUCUCCCUCUGUAUGUGGGUUGAUUUUUUUCUAGUUUGCCCUUUCCUGGCCAUUUGGCCUUUGAGAACCACGGCCUUAGACUGGGGCUCCAUUCUAUGGGUCCCACAUCUUCAGCACAAGCUCUCAUCCCCAUCCCCAGAGCCACUCAAACCUAAGCUCCCUGACUACCAGCAAACCCACUCAGGGUAACUCAUACUUCAGCAUCCACUUGUUCCUGUCUUUAGUUUUUGUUUUGCUCCUGAACAAUUUCUCUUUCUCUUGCACUCUGUUAUCCUUCAAAGAGAUAUCUGUUAGAUUUCACCUAGUUUCCCAGACAUUCUGCGGCAGGAAAGUUUUCAGGUUAUCUAAUCCCUAAAUUGCCAAAAGAGAAAUGCAGUAUGUAGAGAAUUAAUUCAAUUUGGUAUAUAUUAUACAGUCCACCAGAUCAAUGCUUCCCAGACUUUCAUUUACAUAAAAUCAGCUAAGGAUCUUGAUAAAAGGCAUAUUCUGCUUCUAGCUCUUGGAUAGGGUUGAAGGGUAUGCCUUUCUAACAAGCUCCCAGAGGUGAGGCCAAUACUGUUAAGACACUGAAUGGCAAGUUUCUAGACGACCGUAUUUUUUUAAGUAGUAGUUAUCUACAGAUACUCAAGUUACAAUCUUUUCUGAAUUUGUUUCAAUAAUCUGACAAACAAUGAUGCUGUUUUCAUUUUUAAGAAAACAUACUCAGUUUGUAAUCACUUUAUGAUUUAGAAAAUCAUAAUCCUACUAGAUCUGCCUUAUUCCUUCUGUGUUUAUUUUGUCUAUGGCUAUGCUGUCAUAUAGAAGAAUGUGAUGAAGAAUAUGACUUCCCUAGAGGGAGAAAACUUUACCUUAUUGUAUCACUAAUGAGAUCUUACAUACAGAAAGCAAUUAAAAAUAUUUCUAGAGAACAAACGACUCUGGUCCUAUUUUCAAUCUCUAUCUUGAAAACUAUAUAACAAGGGCAUUCCCAUCAUUUACUCAUUUAAUGAACAUUAAUUAAUAUGCCAGUCUUUACCCAUAAGGAGCUUUAGAGUUAUAUCCACCUCUACUGGUUGAGUCAAAUAGUCAACAUCUCAGUCAUAAUAAUAAUAAUAAUAGCUAACACUUAUUGAACCAUUGGAUCUGACAUGUAUUACUUCACUGAAACCUUCAACAUUUCUCUAAGGAGUUACUAUUCUUAUCCUCAUUUUUUUUUUUUUGAGAGAGAGAGUGUAUGUGCAUGCACACAUGCACACAUAAGUGGAGGAUGACGGACAGAGGGAGAGAGAGGGAGAGAAUCCCAAUCAGACUCUGUGUUGUCAGCGCAGAGCCCAACUCAAGGCUCAAUCCCAUGACCAUGAGAUCACAAUCUGAGCAGAAAUCAAGAGCCAGACACUCAACCAACUAAGCUGCCCAGGCGCCCCUAUCCAUUUGAUGGAGGAUAAAAGUUGAAGCUUGCAGAGAGGUAGAUAACUUUCCCGUGGUCAUGCCACUAGUAAAUUGUAGAACAAGAAUUUAAAAUCACGUCAUCCUGACUCCAGAAUCCAAACUCUUACCCCCUAGGCUAUACUACAGUCACACAUAAGUUUCAAAGCACUCUGGCUCAGGUAUGAAGCAAAGGUAACCAUGUGAGGCCAACAGGAGAGGGACUACACUGAGAUCCAGGGGGUUCUCAUUCACGUGGACAUAAAAUAUGGGCUGAGGGUAAAUAACCUACUGCAAACACCUCAGGGAACGACGUAUCCAAGGUCUGGUCUGAAGCAAAGUUUAAUUCUAACUUGGAUGAAAUAUGGAGGCUGAGGCUGCUGCUCCCCUUGCCAGCAUUGGAACAGCUCCUGCUGCAACAGUCCUGAGAUUUGGGAAGUCCGGCUGCAGGCAUUUGAGGGAGAAAAUAAAGUAGGGGACUCUAGGGUACAGACAGGCAUAAAAGCACAGAAGCCAGCAUGGUUAUGCCAAAGUUCACUGAUAUGUUGAAGAAAGCCCACCAUUUAGUAAAUACUCUAUUAGGAUGAAGAAAUCAGGAUUUUCACAAUGUGCUAUGGUAUCUGAAAAUGCCACUGCAUGGGUCUGGAAGACACAGCUCUGUACAAUUUAUAUUUUCUGGACUUUAAACAGAAGACAAGUUCAGAAGAGGAUUUGUCGAGUUGAAAGCAUGAAAAGCUAAGGGUAAAGGGUUUGAGGAGUGAGCUCCCGAGUGGUACUUUCAAGUCGUUAGGUAGACAGAUGAUCAGUGCCAACAAACAUCGAGAAUGCUUGUGCCCACUCACUAGCAGAUGCAACCUCUCCUAAAGAAAGGUAUUUUUUAUGUUUAUUUUUGAGAGAGAGAGAGAGAGAGAGAGAGCGAGCGAGCGAGCAGGGGAGGGUCAGAGAGGGAGAGAGACACAGAAUCUGAAGCAGGCUACAGGCUCCGAGCUGUCAGCACAGAGCCCGACACAGGGCUCAAACUCACAAACUGUGGGAUCACGACCUGAGCUGAAGUUGGACAAUUAACCGACUGAGCCACCCAGGUGCCCCAAUAAAAGGUAUUUUUUAAAAACUCAGACUAAAUGGGAUAUAGUAAAAUUCUUCCAUCCGAAUAGAUUGUUACAGAUCCUCAUUUUAGCCGUUUAUAUCACUGUUUGCCAUCUAUAAAAAAUUCAAUCUAGAAAAACUAAGAGAAAAAAAACUGUACACAUUCUUUAAUAAUAACUCAUGGUCUUGUGUAUUAUGAGAAUAAGCAUUAUGUAAUUAUAAAACUAUUGUAUUAUUGCCUGAGACUGAUUAAUCUCAGAACACCAGACAAGGUGUAAAUGAAGCCAUGGCCAAGGGUCAGUUCUUAUGAAGGCUAUUCAGGAUCACUGUGUUUCGUGACAGCCACCUUACCCCUCACUCCAGCUGGUGGCAAGGGGGACAAAGCAAGACAGAGGAGAAACGGUCCUAGUGAUAGCAGUGAGUGGCACAGCUUUUCCAUAUAAAGGAAAACAUAUUAUUAGGUCAUGGCUGACAUUUAGUAGGUAAUUCACUCAAAUGACUUACCACUUCAUACCCUGUAAUUUGGUAUGAUUCUUCUUUUAAUAGCACACUGAACAGAUGCAGAUUUCCCAUUUACAUUCAAAAUGACAGCAAAUUCUCUUUCCACCAAUAUGGCUCUUGUGAAGGAUAAGGAAAGAAAAGGCGAGUGUUCUAGGGGACCACACAGAUCUCUGGCCCUGGUUCUGUCUCAUCGUUCAUUCCUCUGCCUCCAUCUGCACUCUAUGCCUCUAAGAGCCCCUUCCCUACAGUCUCUUUAUAUCACUUGAAGUUCUAUUCUUUCCUCUCUCAGCCCCUAAAAAUGUGAAUGCGCUUAUCACUUAAUAGAUACAGAUGGAUACAUGUGAGAUAGACAAAUUUUAAUAUGAAGAAUCUGAAGAGAUCAUCCAAUUCUCAGGCAUGAGAAAGAUGACCCUUCUCCCUUUCUAUCACUGUAACUCAUGUCUUCACGCAUCCAUCCAUUUAAGGUUUGCUGUGAUGUUUAAAUGUAUUUUUAAAGUAUAAAAGAAAUAUAAUAGACCCUAGAUAACUAAUUCCCAUUUCCCCCCUAUUCCUUUCCCCCAACUUACCCCCACUUUACCCAGAGCUCUCCUCUCCUUGAAAACAAAUUUUGAAGAAUGCCCUUGAGGGAUGUGUAAUACCCUACUGAUUGCUAAAUUGACCUUGAAACAUUUUUUAAAGACUAUGUGGACACAUACCCUUUGUUCUCAUGGCUUUUCAUCUUCAUAUGAGUAUGACCAGUAAUACUUAACCAUCUAAAGUUUAAACCUUCUCUGAGGAUUAAGUUGAAGCCUUGAAAGUCUUCUUUUAGAAGAUAAAAGACAACAGUCUCCUUCAUAUAAUGUCCCUCUUCCAUCAAGCAUUUUUUAUAAGAACAUUAACAUCCUCAAGUUUAGUAGAAACAAUUUGAUUCAAAGGAGAAUUGAUUUCUGCAGAUGGUCCUCAAAUUCUGUUGCAGCUUUGGAAACACUCUUCCCAAGUAACCAAAAUGACUAGUCUAAUGUGAAAAAAUUAGAAUUCAGUUUUGCCAUAGAAAAAUGUAGCAAGAGCCAAGAUCUUACAUUUCUGCAGAACUGGAAUUGAGAAAGAAUAGCAGGUCAAAUUAGGGCGCCACAUUAAAAUAUUUCUCAAUUGUGUUGUAGCUCAUGUAAUUGUUGGCAACUAUUUGCUCCCUACCCUGUGAGAGAAUUACACAUCUUUGUUGUUUGCCCUGAUUCCUGUAAGACGGAGCAAAUCUCACUGCCCAUAGUCAGACUUGGCCAUGGACUUGAUUGGCCAGUGAACAUCAGCAGAAAUGACAGUGUGCUUACUCCAUGCAGGAGCUUGUUUAAGAGGCCUGCUCUUGCUUUUUAAUCUCUACCUAAAGAAUAGCAUAUCCUUGAUGGAAUGCUCCAUUAGCCUGGAUUCCAAAAGGAAGACUCAUGGAAAAGAGCCAUAUGGAACCUAGCCUUGGCCACAGCUGCAGCUGCAGGCAACCAACAACAACAGGGGCAAGCUUCAACCUGUGCACGGAGGACAUGCAUGUUAUUUGCCACUGAGAUUUGGGGGUUGCUUUUCAUCACAGAACAGAUGAUUAAUACAACAAACAAAUCAUGAUGUGUUUAUCCCAAGAAUGGGGAGACUAGGUUUCUGUGUUCUACAAAAAGAAAAAAGAAAUGAACAUUUAUGGAAACUUUGUUCAAGGCCAACUACUGUUCUAGGAGUUUCACAAAAUUAUCCACCAACCAGAUGCCCAGAAAAACCUCUUGGGUCUCAUCUCUGACCUCUAAGUAAGUUUCUAGAGCUGGCAUUCUAUUAUGAGUUGCUUACUGAAGCCAUUCAGAAAAGUAAGAUUCACUACAUAAUUUACAGUCACUACAUUUCAAGAGAGUAGAUAUCUGGCCAAGAUUAAUCCCUAUGUUUUUUUCAUAAUAUGACUAAUGUUUUAGUGUACCACCAAUUAUUAGCAUGAUUUUCAGAGAAAAUCCAGUUCACUAAUGUUUGAAACUUUUUAUUUCAAACCCAUUUUUAUUUCCUAUAUUCACCUACUUGUUACCUAACUACCAAAAAUAUUAGAUUCUUUCAUUUUUAAGGGCCAUCUCCACUUAAAUUUUAGCUUCCUUUUAUACUGCCAUCAAUUUCAUUAAGAUGCCUAUAAACAUAAUGAUAAUAAUGUGAAUCUCACCAAUAGUUUAUCUGUGCCAAAAGUUUGUAAGUGAUAAUCGAGAUAUUACCAAAAGAUUUCAAGUCAUCAGAGUCUAGUAUUAUUAAAGAUCAAUACCAUCACCAUUAAUGAGACACAGGCACUGUUCUGGGAAAGGAUAUAUAUCCAGAGUUUGAUAAAUGGACUUCAAACAAACAGCGGAAAUAAUUUAUCCAGGCUAAAAGAAAGCUUUUAAAGGCUGGCAAAGUCUAUUCUAAAACAAAAUUUUCCUAUGCCUCUUCUGAUUUGAAAAAAAAAUUGUAGAGAGAUACCAUAUACAUCCUCUAGUGAUGUUAAUAUUUUUAACCAUUUUUAUUCAACAUUUUAACUAGAUGCCUGUUGGAUAAAAAAUAUAUCUAUAAACGUGCCAAUCUUUUUAGUUCUAGGCAAAGAAUAAGAUGUUGGGUGAAAAUUAGAAACACAAUAUUAGAAAAAAUAUAUGAAGGCUAUUUUUUUCCCAAAGUACCUUACUAAAAUUCACUAUGAACACUCAUGCACUGUUAUAUCUGCAUAUAAAAUAAAGGCACAGACUAGAAAAUAAAAGAGGUAAGUUUAGGUAAGGGGAUUAUGGGUGAUUUGGUUUAUUUACCUUUUAUUUUUAUAAUAAUAUUUUUUUUUUUAAUUUUUUUUUUCAACGUUUAUUUAUUUUUGGGACAGAGAGAGACAGAGCAUGAACGGGGGAGGGGCAGAGAGAGAGGGAGACACAGCAUCGGAAACAGGCUCCAGGCUCUGAGCCAUCAGCCCAGAGCCCGACGCGGGGCUCGAACUCACGGACCGCGAGAUCGUGACCUGGCUGAAGUCGGACGCUCAACCGACUGCGCCACCCAGGCGCCCCUAUAAUAAUAUUUUUAAACAGUUACAAAUAAAUGCUGCUACUAGAAUCUUAUUAUAUGUUAAUUUUAAUAUCCUAUCUAUAUAUGUUAAUUUUAGUAAAUCUAAGCAAUCCAUGCUUUUUUCAGAAAACAUAUACAUCACAAGGAAAUAAAAAAGAAAACAAAAAGCAUCCAUAAUCCUACAAAAAUUCUAAAUUCUUUGAGUCUUUUGUGUCUGCGCACAUUUAUAUGAAUAGAAGAAAGAAACAAGAGUUCCACUUCAAGGAAAGAAUGAUGCAUAGUGUCAGAACACCCAUCCUGUUGAGAACAGCUAAAAGAUGGACAGUGUUUUAAAAUAUAUACUUGAGGGGCACCUGAAUGACUCAGUCGGCUGAGCGUCCAUCUGACUCUUGUUUUCAGCUCAGAUCAUAAUCUCACAGUUCGUGAGUUUGAGCCCCGUGUCAGGCUCUAUGCUGACACUGAGGAGCCUGCUUGGGAUUCUUUCUCUCUCCCUCUCUCUCUACUUCUCCCCCACUAAUGCUCACCUUCUCUUUCUCUCCCUCGCUCUCUCCCUCUCAAAAUAAAUAAAUAAACUCUAAAAAAAAUAAAAUAUAUAUGUGAAAUAUAUGUUGGCCUCAAAGAACUACCAAGACAGUGAGAAGAGGUGAGACAAGAUUUAAGAGAAGAGGGAAACCAAGAGGGGUAAUCCAGAACUUAGGGCACUUUUCCCCUUGAGGCAAAAUGCCAGUUCUGAAAAUGAAAACAACAAAUGAGAGGCUAAGAAAGUGAGCACAAUAAAAUAAAAACUUGAGUACACGGCAUCAGAACAAGGAGGGACUUAGUAAAUACCCUGUACUUUCAGUGAGAUUCUGAAAGGGCUUAAGAGGAAUUAGGAACAGAACAGCCCUCACAAGAACUGAAGCUCAGAUUUGAAUCUGGUCUCAGUUUCUGAUGGGAUGAGAUUGAUUCUGUUCAAAUGAACUGUAUACAAGAGCCGGAGGAAAUCUUCCCAGGACAAAAAACAUUACCUAGAGCCCAAAAUUAUCUCUAAAAUUUUUCUUUUUUUUUUCCCAAUAUAUGAAAUUUAUUGUCAAAUUGGUUUCCAUACAACACCCAGUGCUCAUCCCAUAAGGUGCCCUCCUCAAUACCCAUCACCCACCCUCCCCUCCCUCCCACCCCCCAUCAACCCUCAGUUUGUUCUCAGUUUUUAACAGUCUCUUAUGCUUUGGCUCUCUCCCACUCUAACCUCUUUUUUUUUUCUUUCCUUCCCCUCCCCCAUGGGUUUCUGUUAAGUUUCUCAGUAUCCACAUAUGAGUGAAAACAUAUGUUAUCUAUCUUUCUCUGUAUGGCUUAUUUCACUUAGCAUAACACUCUCCAGUUCCAUCCACGUUGCUACAAAGGGCCAUAUUCCAUCCUUUCUCAUUGCCAUGUAGUACUCCAUUGUGUAUAUAAACCACAAUUUCUUUAUCUAAAAUUUUUCAUAAACAAUGCCUGGCCUUCAAUAAACAGAAAGAAAGAAAGAAAGAAAGAAAGAAAGAAAGAAAGAAAGAGCAAGCAAGCACGGGGCACUUGGGUGGGUCAGUCAGUUAAGCAUCCAAACUCUUGGUUUUGGCUCGGGUCAUGAUCUCACAGUUCAUGGGUUCAAACUCCACGUUGGUUGGGCUCUGUGCUGACAGCUCAGAGCCCGGAGACUGUUUCAGAUUCUCUGUCUCCCUCUCUCUCUGCCACUCCCCUGCUUGUCUCUCUCUCCCUCAAAAAUGAAUAAACAUUUUUUAAAAAGGAAGAAAGCAUGUAAGAGGGCAAGAUUUAUCUGCAAAUCAACAAAAAAACACAAUGGAAAUAAACUCACAAGUGAUACAAAUAUUGAAGUAUCAAAGACCAGAUAAACUAUUAUUAUGUUCAAUCAAUAACUGAUGGAUAAAGAUGGAGAAUUUCAGAGAACUGGAAACCAGAAAAUAAAUCAAACAGAGUCUAAAAUUAGAAAAUAAAACAUGGUAAAUUGACAACAGGAAAUUACAUGCAACUGAAAAAACAAUUAGUGAAGAGGUCAUCAGAGGGGAAUAUAUACCCUGAAGUAUGGAAAAUCAAAAUGAAAGAAUUGAGAAAUGAUCCUAAAAGACGUAAGGGAUAAGGAGAAAGUGUUCGAGCAUAAGAGAAAAUAAAGCAGAAAGGAUAUUUGAAGAAAUAAUGGCAAAACUUUUCCCCCCAAAAAUGUCAAAACACCAAUAAGUACUACAAACUCCAAGAAGAGUAAAUACAAAAAAAACCACACCUGAGCACACCAUCGUCAGACUACUGAAAAACAAAGAGAAAGAGAAAAAGCUUCAAAUCCAUUGGAGGAAAAGAGAUGUAUUACCUUUAGAAGAACAACUGAGGCACCUGGGUGGCGUUGAACUCUUGAUUUCAGCUCAGGUUAUGAUCUCAUGGUUUGUGAGUUCAAGCACCGCAUCUAACUCUGUGCUGACAGUGUGGAGACUGCUUGGGAUUCUCUCUCUCCCUCUCUCUCUCCCCUGCUCGUGCUCUCUCUCUCAAAAAAAAAAUAAAUAAAUAAAAGAACAACACUAAAACCAUCAGCUGAUUGUUCAACAAGGAAAAAAAAAACAAGAAGACAAUGUAAUGAUAUCCUCAAAGUGCUAAAAACAAAACAACAAAACACCUGCCUACACAGAAUUAUUUAUCCACCAAAAAUAUCCUUCAAAGUUUAAGACAAAUACAUUUUAAUACAAAAACUGAGAGGAUGUGUGACUGGCACAAAUGCACUCAUGGAAAUACAAAAGGGAGUGCUUCAAGAGAAAGAAAAAUCAUCCCAGAAAGAAGAACUAAGAUACAGAACAGAAUGCAGAACAAUGGAAAGGGUAAAGUAUGUCAGCACAUUUAAGUAAAUACUGACUAGAAAAUAACAGGAACAAUAUCAUCUGGAGUUUAAAAGAUAUCAUUAAUAACCUUGACAUUAGUAGCACAUAAGACAUGAGGGGGUUACUCUGCCCUCUUUGCAUUUCCCAGAACUAGUAAAGGUAGUACUACAUACAAUACUUGAAUAAAUAUUUUAUCAACAGAAAGAUGGUAAGAUAAAAGAACAUAGACUAGUAGGACAAAUAAGUAUUAAGAUAGCUUUAUACCAAAUAUAUAAUUAAUACACUGAAUGUGAAUAGAUCAAAUACAUAAUUUUAGAAAAACUGUCAAACUAUCAUCACAAAUAGGCAACUCAAUUACAUAGAAAAGAUACACCAUCAAUAGGUGAGGUUGGGAACAAAAGGAUGGAAAAUCAUAUAUGCCAUGCAAACACUCACUAAAAGAAGGCUGGUAUAUCUUCACUACUGUAAGAUACAGCAGAUUUAAAGGCAAGAAACAUUACUCUUCAUAUUACAAAUUUUAUCAUCAAUUUUUUUGGAUGUUUUAUGAUGGCAAAAGCAUAGAUCUAAAGGGAAAAUACAAUGCCUAAAUUUAUAUGAUGAAUCUAAAAAUACUACGUAAAGCCAAAAACUGGCAGAAAUAGAAGAAUAGAAAAAUCCACAUCAUGGUUAGAGACUUUAACACAUUCUUCUCAGUAACAGAGAAAAAGCAAAUAUAUCAUCAGUAAGGAUACAGAGCAAGAUUAACAAAGGACUUAGUGGACAGACAGACAACAGAGCACCAACUAGUGUCAACUACACAUUCUUCUCAAAUACCACAGGAUAUUUACCAAAUAAUCUCAGAUCUGGGUCAAAAAUCAAGUUCCAACCAAUUUUAGAAGAUUUAAGUAACACAUGUCAUGUCCUGACUAACCACAGUGGAAUUAAAACUAAUAAUUAAUACCAAAAAGAUAAUUAAAAAAUCCCCAUAUGUUUGGACAUUAACCAAUGCUGUUCUAAAUAGUUCAUGGGUUAAAGAAGAUAAUUAAAAUGAGAACUAUUUGAGAUGAAUGACAAUUUUUUUAAUUGCAUAUUCAUUUUUUCCAGAUGAAGAAUUAAUGUCACACUUAGAAGGACAUUUAUGGCCUUAUGUGCAUAUAGGAAAAUUGAGAAAGGCUAAAAGAAGAGGAAGAAGAGGAAGAGGAAGAGGAAGAAAAAGGACAUCAACUACAGUGUCUACAGACAUUAAAACAUAAGGAAAUAUUAACAACUUUAUGC